AUUUAAAUAGCUUAAUUAAGAGCAUGACAUUGAAGAUGUUUUGGUGACCUUGGGGUCUUUAAAUA
rnacentral:tRNA from 1 species